UACGGGGGGGGCAAGCGUUGUUCGGAAUUACUGGGCGUAAAGGGCUCGUAGGUGGCCACCUAAGUCUGACGUGAAAUCCCUCGGCUUAACCGGGGAACUGCGUCGGAGACUGGGUGGCUUGAAUCCGGGAGAGGGACGUGGAAUUCCAGGUGUAGCGGUGAAAUGCGUAGAUAUCUGGAGGAACACCGGUGGCGAAGGCGGCGUCCUGGACCGGAAUUGACACUGAGGAGCGAAAGCCAGGGGAGCAAACGGG
rnacentral:rRNA from 1 species